rnacentral:lncRNA from 1 species
CAGUCAGUCCCAAAGAUUCUGAGGAAGAGAAGGCAACAUUGCAGGAUGAGCUUUUCUCCCCUUUUGUCCCCAAAACUUGGGCCAGGACGUUUCCUCAUGAUUAAUUUCAGACCAUGCAUCUUUGGCAAGAGUUUCACAGAAACUUCUCAUCGCAUCCUAUCAGGCGGCACACGAUUCUGUUUUGUCUGGGAAUGAGGGAUGCUGACUUUGAUCACUUGCUUGCGGUCGUGUCUGCCAGGCAUCUCCACCAUUAAGCUCUCUUUUCCUCUUUCCUGCGCUGGGCUGUCCUCUGCCUUAAGGCAGAAGCCCUCCCAACUCCUUAGGUCUCCACACUCCAUGCUCAUUGUCUCAUGCUGCCCAAGCUCCUCAUCCCCGUGGAGCCUCACACACCAUGCCGGGUUUAGCCCUGGCCACCCUCUCAUGCCUCUGUCACAGCCUCAGCCUCGAUAUACUGUUGGUCUCCAACACCUCCGUGGGCCACUGCAUCUCCCCUCUGCUCUGGCACAGGUGCCUGCUCUUCUAGGUCUCCCUAAUGGUUUGUGGAUUGAAUAGUUUAAG